AGGACGAACGCUGGCGGCGUGCUUAACACAUGCAAGUCGAACGAGGUUCAAGCGUUAGCAAUAACGUGGAAAAUCUAGUGGCGAACGGGUGAGUAACACGUGAGGAACCUACCCCGGACUCAGGGAUAACGGCUGGAAACGGCUGCUAAUACCUGAUGCCGUCGGAGCAUCACAUGGUGCACUGACGAAAGAAUCUCGGUUCGGGAGGGCCUCGCGGCCUAUCAGCUUGUUGGUGGGGUAACGGCCUACCAAGGCAUCGACGGGUAGCUGGUCUGAGAGGAUGAUCAGCCACACUGGGACUGAGACACGGCCCAGACUCCUACGGGAGGCAGCAGUGGGGAAUCUUGCGCAAUGGGCGAAAGCCUGACGCAGCAACGCCGCGUGCGGGAAGAGGCCUUAGGGUUGUAACCGCUUUCAGUAGGAACGAAAUGACGGUACCUGCAGAGAAGGUGCGGCACUACGCGCAGCAGCCGCGGU
rnacentral:rRNA from 1 species